rnacentral:rRNA from 1 species
CCUACGGGUGGCAGCAGUGGGGAAUAUUGCACAAUGGGGGGAACCCUGAUGCAGCAACGCCGCGUGGGUGAAGAAGUAUUUCGGUAUGUAAAGCCCUGUCAGCAGGGAAGAAAAUGACGGUACCUGACCAAGAAGCCCCGGCUAACUACGUGCCAGCAGCCGCGGUAAUACGUAGGGGGCAAGCGUUAUCCGGAUUUACUGGGUGUAAAGGGAGCGUAGACGGCAAGGCAAGUCUGGAGUGAAAGCCCGGGGCUCAACCCCGGGACUGCUUUGGAAACUGUGUUGCUGGAGUGCAGGAGGGGCAAGCGGAAUUCCGAGUGGAGCGGUGAAAUGCGUAGAUAUUAGGAGGAACACCAGUGGCGAAGGCGGCUUGCUGGACUGUAACUGACGUUGAGGCUCGAAGGCGUGGGGAGCAAACAGGAUUAGAUACCCGGGUAGUC